rnacentral:lncRNA from 1 species
AAGACCCUAAAAAUCCCAAAGAAAUCAGGCGGGAUAAGAGGCGAAAAGUUUGUGGGGGACCAAACCAGAGGAAUGCGACAGAAGAAAAAUGGGGGAGAAAGGGCACCUAAAUGGCAAGAAGAGAAAUGAAAGUUUCGGGACUAACCUAGAUCGCUCCGAGGGAUGCAAAGGGGCGAGGACAGGGAUGACUCGAAGAAUGCUUGGGACCAAGGUGGAUGCCAAAGAGGGUCAGAGCUCUCAGAGAGAAGGCAGACACCAACAGAACUCUCA